CCGUAAUUGUUCUGAUAUUAGGAAAAUAUUUAUUAGUGAAUUUGGAGACAACAAGAACAAGGGUCAAGGGUUACAACAAGAACAAAAUAUGAUGAAUAUAAAAAACUUAUUUGUAUGAUUUUUUGUGUUUGUUUUUGAAUGACAUUUUGAUUAUAUUGUACUUUUUAUUUUGAAUUGUCUUUAACAUAAUUUUUUGGGAGUGAAAAUUGUUUAAAUUUAAAUUACAGAAAGUUUGUAUUUUUUUUUAUUUUAAAAAAAAUGUAAUUAACUGGGCUAGUGAGCCAACCCGUUUACCCACCAACCCGUGGUGGGUCGGGCCGGGUUCAAGUUUUUCUGGCUCGCUAAUAAAUGAGCCGGGUUGGAUUGACUCACUAAGUGACCAACCCGUGGUGGGCCG
rnacentral:lncRNA from 1 species